GAAUAUUGGUCAAUGGGCGCAAGCCUGAUCCAGCCAUGCCGCGUGUGUGAAGAAGGCCUUAGGGUUGUAAAGCACUUUCAGUGGGGAGAAAGGUGAUUCACCUAAUACGUGAGUUAAUUGAUGUUACCCACAGCAGAAGCACCGGCUAACUCCGUGCCAGCAGCCGCGGUAAUACGGAGGGGGCAAGCGUUAAUCGGAGUUACUGGGCGUAAAGCGUACGUAGGUGGUUUGUUAAGCCAGCUGUGAAAUCCCCGGGCUCAACCUGGGCACUGCAGUUGGAACUGGCAAGCUAGAGUAGGGUAGAGGGGUGUGGAAUUCAAGGUGUAGCGGUGAAAUGCGUAGAUAUCUGGAGGAACAUAAGUGGCGAAGGCGACACCCUGGACUCAUACUGACACUGAGGUACGAAAGCGUGGGGAGCAAACAGG
rnacentral:rRNA from 1 species